rnacentral:rRNA from 1 species
GCAAGUCGAACGGUAACAUAGAGAAGCUUGCUUUUCUGAUGACGAGUGGCGCACGGGUGCGUAACGCGUAUAGAACCUACCCUUUACAGGGGGAUAGCCCGGAGAAAUUCGGAUUAAUACCCCAUAGUACUAUUUAGAGGCAUCUUUAGAUGGUUAAAGUUUUUACGGUAAAGGAUGGCUAUGCGUCCUAUUAGUUCGUAGGUGAGGUAACGGCUCACCUAGACUUCGAUAGGUAGGGGCCCUGAGAGGGGGAUCCCCCACACUGGUACUGAGACACGGACCAGACUCCUACGGGAGGCAGCAGUGAGGAAUAUUGGACAAUGGUCGUAAGACUGAUCCAGCCAUGCCGCGUGCAGGAAGACUGCCCUAUGGGUUGUAAACUGCUUUUUUACGGGAAGAAUAAUACCCACGUGUGGGUAGAUGACGGUACCGUACGAAUAAGGACCGGCUAACUCCGUGCCAGCAGCCGCGGUAAUACGGAGGGUCCGAGCGUUAUCCGGAAUCAUUGGGUUUAAAGGGUCCGCAGGCGGGCCAGUAAGUCAGGGGUGAAAGUUUGCGGCUUAACCGUAAAAUUGCCUUUGAUACUGCUGGUCUUGAGUUGCGGUGAAGUGGCCGGAAUAUGUGGUGUAGCGG